rnacentral:rRNA from 1 species
CAGCAGCCGCGGUAACACGUAGGUGGCAAGCGUUGUCCGGAAUUAUUGGGCGUAAAGGGCUCGCAGGCGGUUUCUUAAGUCUGAUGUGAAAGCCCCCGGCUCAACCGGGGAGGGUCAUUGGAAACUGGGAAACUUGAGUACAGAAGAGGAGAGUGGAAUUCCACGUGUAGCGGUGAAAUGCGUAGAGAUGUGGAGGAACACCAGUGGCGAAGGCGACUCUCUGGUCUGUAACUGACGCUGAGGAGCGAAAGCGUGGGGAGCGAACAGGAUUAGAUACCCCAGUAGUCCCUGUCUCUUAUAA